AAUUCCCUGCGGUGUGCGUGAUCAGUAGACUAUUUUGGGCCGACAUUGAAAACCUUGGGAACUCCCUCUUGUUCUGGACGGCAUGUUUGCCUUCGGGCAAAAGACCGGAAGGAAUAACGGAGUACCCACCUGUCGGGAGACAGGUUCAAAAGCGUCUGCUGACACGACACUGCGGGGCUAAA
rnacentral:other from 1 species